GUGAUCUGUCUGCUUAAUUGCGUUUCACUAUUGGGCUUAUAUAAUUACGUAUGCACGCUUUGCGCUUUGACCCCUUUUCUACGGAAUUGCGCGUGUCUUUGUCUCGUUUAGCUCAUACAAUUAAGCCCUGAAAGCAACGAACGUGACCGCAACCUCUUGUUGCUCUCAAUUUUGACUUCGUUUUACCAGACAGUCAUGCUUAUUAUUUGUGUUCACACUCGUGUGCUUCACAUUUUUUAAGUCAAGAGAGUUUCUAAACUAGAGGGACCGCUGUUACUUUCUUAAACCAGAGGAAGGUUGCGGCAAUAACAG
rnacentral:rRNA from 1 species